GUAGUAUGGCUUGCACAUCUGCCAGCUUUCAACAAAAUUGUAGGCCCUGUUAAUAAUAGUCCUUUUGUGUUUGGUGAAAAAGAUACGACACUGUCAGUGGUUUUGCUUUUAAGAUUUCUUUUAAACUUUCAGUCUUUAGAAAACCUCAACAGUGGCACGGUAGAACCAACUCAUUCUAAAUGCUUAAAAAUGGAAAGAAAUCUGGGUCUUCUUACUAAAGAAGAAGAAGAAGAUGAUGAAAAUGAAGCUAAUGAAGGGGAAGAAGAUGAUGAUAAGGACUUUUUGUUGCCAGCACCCAAUGAAGAGCAAGUUACUUGCCUCAAGAUGUACUUUGGCCAUUCCAGUUUUAAACCGAUAUGGAAAGAGUUUGUGCUUCCAGUAUCCACCUGUUUAUGUAGGCAAGAUUGGCCUUGUUAUCUCUCCCCUUAUUUCUCUGAUGGAAGACCAAGUGCUACAGCUUAAAAUGUCCAACAUCCCAGCUUGCUUCCUUGGAUCAGCACAGUCAGAAAAUGUUCUAACAGAUAUUAAAUUAGGUAAAUACCGGAUUGUAUACGUAACUCCAGAAUACUGUUCAGGUAACAUGGGCCUGCUCCAGCAACUUGAGGCUGAUAUUGGUAUCACGCUCAUUGCUGUGGAUGAGGCUCACUGUAUUUCUGAGUGGGGGCAUGAUUUUAGGAAUUCAUUCAGGAAGUUGGGCUCCCUGAAGACAGCACUGCCAAUGGUUCCAAUCGUUGCACUUACUGCUACUGCAAGUUCCUCAAUCCGGGAAGACAUUGUACGUUGCUUAAAUCUGAGAAAUCCUCAGAUCACCUGUACUGGUUUUGAUCGACCAAACCUGUAUUUAGAAGUUAGGCGAAAAACAGGGAAUAUCCUUCAGGAUCUGCAGCCAUUUCUUGUCAAAACAAGUUCCCACUGGGAAUUUGAAGGUCCAACAAUCAUCUACUGUCCUUCUAGAAAAAUGACACAACAAGUUACAGGUGAACUUAGGAAACUGAAUCUAUCCUGUGGAACAUACCAUGCGGGCAUGAGUUUUAACACAAGGAAAGACAUUCAUCAUAGGUUUGUAAGAGAUGAAAUUCAGUGUGUCAUAGCUACCAUAGCUUUUGGAAUGGGCAUUAAUAAAGCUGACAUUCGCCAAGUCAUUCAUUACGGUGCUCCUAAGGACAUGGAAUCAUAUUAUCAGGAGAUUGGUAGAGCUGGUCGUGAUGGACUUCAAAGUUCUUGUCACGUCCUCUGGGCUCCUGCAGACAUUAACUUAAAUAGGCACCUUCUUACUGAGAUACGUAAUGAGAAGUUUCGAUUAUACAAAUUAAAGAUGACGGCAAAGAUGGAAAAAUAUCUUCAUUCUAGCAGAUGUAGGAGACAAAUCAUCUUGUCUCAUUUUGAGGACAAACAAGUACAAAAAGCCUCCUUGGGAAUUAUGGGAACUGAAAAAUGCUGUGAUAAUUGCAGGUCCAGAUUGGAUCAUUGCUAUUCCAUGGAUGACUCAGAGGAUACAUCCUGGGACUUUGGUCCACAAGCAUUUAAGCUUUUGUCUGCUGUGGACAUCUUAGGCGAAAAAUUUGGAAUUGGGCUUCCAAUUUUAUUUCUCCGAGGAUCUAAUUCUCAGCGUCUUGCCGAUCAAUAUCGCAGGCACAGUUUAUUUGGCACUGGCAAGGAUCAAACAGAGAGUUGGUGGAAGGCUUUUUCCCGUCAGCUGAUCACUGAGGGAUUCUUGGAAGAAGUUUCUCGGUAUAACAAAUUUAUGAAGAUUUGCAUCCUUACGAAAGAGGUAAACAGUGUAGGAGUCUGCCUGUUUGACUUAAUUUUGUUUCCCACUCCACAUUAAAAGAUCCUUUUUGCUUUUAAUAGGGUAGAAAUUGGCUUCAUAAAGCUAAUACAGAAUCUCAGAGCCUCAUCCUUCAAGCUAAUGAAGAAUUGUGUCCAAAGAAGUUUCUUCUGCCUAGUUCAAAAACUGUAUCUUCGGGCACCAAAGAGCAUUGUUAUAAUCAAGUACCAGUUGAAUUAACUACAGAGAAGAAGUCUAACUUGGAGAAGUUAUAUUCUUAUAAACCAUGUGAUAAGAUUUCUUCUGGGAGUAACAUUUCUAAAAAAAGUAUCAUGGUACAGUCACCAGAAAAAGCUUACAGUUCCUCAGAGCCUAUUAUUUCGGCACAAGAGCAGGAGACUCAGAUUGUGUUAUAUGGCAAAUUGGUAGAAGCUAGGCAGAAACAUGCCAAUAAAAUGGAUGUUCCCCCAGCUAUUCUGGCAACCAACAAGAUACUGGUGGAUAUGGCCAAAAUGAGACCAACUACGGUUGAAAACGUAAAAAGGAUUGAUGGUGUUUCUGAAGGCAAAGCUGCCAUGUUGGCCCCUCUGUUGGAAGUCAUCAAACAUUUCUGCCAAACAAAUAGUGUUCAGACAGACCUCUUUUCAAGUACAAAACCUCAAGAAGAACAGAAGACGAGUCUGGUAGCAAAAAAUAAAAUAUGCACACUUUCACAGUCUAUGGCCAUCACAUACUCUUUAUUCCAAGAAAAGAAGAUGCCUUUGAAGAGCAUAGCUGAGAGCAGGAUUCUGCCUCUUAUGACAAUUGGCAUGCACUUAUCCCAAGCGGUGAAAGCUGGCUGCCCCCUUGAUUUGGAGCGAGCAGGCCUGACUCCAGAGGUUCAGAAGAUUAUUGCUGAUGUUAUCCGAAACCCUCCCGUCAACUCAGAUAUGAGUAAAAUUAGCCUAAUCAGAAUGUUAGUUCCUGAAAACAUUGACACGUACCUUAUCCACAUGGCAAUUGAGAUCCUUAAACAUGGUCCUGACAGCGGACUUCAACCUUCAUGUGAUGUCAACAAAAGGAGAUGUUUUCCCAGUUCUGAAGAGAUCUGUUCAAGUUCUAAGAGAAGCAAGGAAGAAGUAGGCAUCAAUACUGAGACUUCAUCUGCAGAGAGAAAGAGACGAUUACCUGUGUGGUUUGCCAAAGGAAGUGAUACCAGCAAGAAAUUAAUGGACAAAACGAAAAGGGGAGGUCUUUUUAGUUAAGCUGGCAAUUACCGGAACAAUUAUGUUUCUUGCUGUAUUAUAAGAGGAUAGCUAUAUUUUAUUUCUGAAGAGUAAGGAGUAGUAUUUUGGCUUAAAAAUCAUUCUAAUUACAAAGUUCACUGUUUAUUGAAGAACUGGCAUCUUAAAUCAGCCUUCCGCAAUUCAUGUAGUUUCUGGGUCUUCUGGGAGCCUACGUGAGUACAUCACCUAACAGAAUAUUAAAUUAGACUUCCUGUAAGAUUGCUUUAAGAAACUGUUACUGUCCUGUUUUCUAAUCUCUUUAUUAAAACAGUGUAUUUGGAAAAUGUUAUGUGCUCUGAUUUGAUAUAGAUAACAGAUUAGUAGUUACAUGGUAAUUAUGUGAUAUAAAAUAUUCAUAUAUUAUCAAAAUUCUGUUUUGUAAAUGUAAGAAAGCAUAGUUAUUUUACAAAUUGUCUUUACUAUCUUUUAAAGAAGCUCUUAAAUACGUUCUUAAAUGGUAUUAGUUGACCAGGGCAGUGAAAAUGAAACCACAUUUUGGGUGCCAUUAAAUAGGGAAAAAACAUGUAAAAAAUGUAAAAUGGAUACCAAUUGCACUAGGCAAGUGUAUAUUUUGUAUUUUAUAUACAAUUUCUAUUAUUUUUCAAAUAAUAAAACAAUGUUUUUCAUGCUGAAUAUUAUA
rnacentral:sRNA from 1 species